GAUGAACGCUGGCGGCGUGCCUAAUACAUGCAAGUCGAGCGAACGGACGAGAAGCUUGCUUCUCUGAUGUUAGCGGCGGACGGGUGAGUAACACGUGGAUAACCUACCUAUCAGACUGGGAUAACUUCGGGAAACCGUAGCUAAUACCGGAUAAUAUUUUGAACCGCAUGGUUCAUAAGUGAAAGACGGUCUUGCUGUCACUUAUAGAUGGAUCCGCGCUGCAUUAGCUAGUUGGUAAGGUAACGGCUUACCAAGGCAACGAUGCAUAGCCGACCUGAGAGGGUGAUCGGCCACACUGGAACUGAGACACGGUCCAGACUCCUACGGGAGGCAGCAGUAGGGAAUCUUCCGCAAUGGGCGAAAGCCUGACGGAGCAACGCCGCGUGAGUGAUGAAGGUCUUCGGAUCGUAAAACUCUGUUAUUAGGGAAGAACAUAUGUGUAAGUAACUGUGCACAGCUUGACGGUACCUAAUCAGAAAGCCACGGCUAACUACGUG
rnacentral:rRNA from 1 species